rnacentral:rRNA from 1 species
CCUACGGGUGGCAGCAGUGAGGAAUAUUGGUCAAUGGUCGGGAGACUGAACCAGCCAAGCCGCGUGAGGGAGGAAGGUACAGAGUAUCGUAAACCUCUUUUGUCAGGGAACAAAGACUGGGACGCGUCCCCGGAUGAGUGUACCUGAAGAACAAGCAUCGGCUAACUCCGUGCCAGCGGCCGCGUUAAUACGGAGGAUGCGAGCGUUAUCCGGAUGUAUUGGGUUUAAAGUGUGCGCGGGGGGUUUGUUAAGUCCGCGGUCAAAGCCCGGGGCUCAACCCCGGCCCGCCGUUGAAACUGGCAGUCUCGAGUUGGAGAGAAGUAUGCGGAAUGCGCGGGGUAGCAGUGAAAUGCAUAGAUAUCGCGCAGAACUCCGAUUGCGAAGGCAGCAUGCCGGCUCCACACUGACGCUGAGGCACGAAAGCGUGGGUAGCGAACAGGAUUAGAUACCCCGGUAGUC